UGAGUUAGUAAUUUUACAAAAAUUUUGCAGUUUUUAUACGACCGCAAAAAUUGAAAAUUUUUUGGUCGUAUAUUGGUAUGACGUUGGCGUCGUCGUUGUCGUCGUCGUCGUCGUCGUCGUCCGGCGUCGUCCGAAGACACAUUGGUUUUCGCACUCUAACUUUAGUUUAAGUGAAUGGAUCUCCAUGAAAUUUUACCAUAAGGUUCAAUACCAAGAAAGGAAGGUGGGGAUUGAUUUUGGGGGUUGUGGUACCAACAGCUAAGGAAUUAGGGGCCAAAAAGGGGCCAAAUAUAAGCAUUUUUGUAACUUCCAGACAAUAACUUGUGUGUAAGUGUAUGGAUCUCUCUGACAUUGUACCACAAGGUUCCAUAUCACAAAGGGAAUGCUGGGAUUGAUUUUGGGGAUAAUUGCCUCAAAAUUUUAGGAAUUAGGGGCCAAAAAAGGGGAAAAAAACAAGCAUUUUUCUAGUUUCAUGACAAUAACUUGUGUGUAAGUUUAUGGAUCUUUCUGAAAUUGUACUACAAGGUUCCAUAUCACAAAGGGAAAGCUGGAAUUGAGUUUGGGGGUAAUUGCCCAAAACGUUUAGGAAUAAGGGGCCAAAAGGGGCCAAAAAUAAG